GGGGGAAAUUGUCUUUACAAAUAAUAGGAUAGCACGGACUCUGACUCCGUUAGUCCUGGUUCGAAUCCAGGUUCCCCGGCCA
rnacentral:tRNA from 1 species